GCCUGGGUGGCUCAGUCAGUAAAGCAUCUGACUUCAGCUUAGGUCAUGAUCUCACAGUUUGUGGGUUCAAACCCCACAUCAGGCA
rnacentral:tRNA from 1 species